GCAGGAACUAUUUUCCAAACGGCUAAUGUUUAGUAACCCGACAGAUGCCACCUCUUUCCACCAGAGUAUAAUCCUCUCUGAAGGGAAGGGAACAGAGGAGCAGGACGGAGAGCUUCAGUGUGUGUGAUAAACUGGGCUGCUCUCCUCCUCUCUGUCAGAUCGCGCUCUGCAUCACACCAUUUCACAUGAUGACCGACUCUGCUUACGAGCACCGAAACCUUCAGCUCUGGCUAUUUGCUUCCAACGUGCUUUUUUUUCUGCUUUCUCUUUUUCGUUUAUCUUGAAGAAAUUUGAGUGAUGCAACACUGUAAGCGGAAAUGAUUUAUGUCGCAUCCUACAGCAUCAAGGUGCGCAAAAGCGUGCGGAACAUUUGAUGGUUUUGGAAGGACGCUCUUCUGCAGCGACUGCCUUGUGGACAUUUCCCCACACUGGAUAUACGGACAGUUAUUAUCUCGGGGGAUAAAAACCUAUUGUUUAUAUCCUGCUUCGCAAGGUGUAUUUGUCGCGUAUAACGGCUGACUGUAAAUGCACUGAGGUGCCACUGUAUCAAAUGAUGCCAGGCUAUAUUAAUAGGUUCUUUGAUUUUCAGACUGAAUGGACGUCACUGAAAGGAUCGCCUAAUUAAAAUCCUAUUUGCGGGGAAUUUUCCUUUCUGUGUAUGGUGCAAGGUUGGCUUUGACAAAUGGUCUCCUCCACUUUUUUCCCAAUAUUUAGUUUGCCCCCUCCUGAUGCAGGUGCUUUCAACUGCCCCCACCUUCUAACAUAUACCCCGCCCGACCCCCCACAAGAGGCGGCGGUGUCUCUGGUUUAGCCCCACAGUUUUCCCCCUUCUUUCUUACCUCUGCUGCAUUUUGCAUGAGCUAUCUAGGUCAUUAGCAUUUUAGCGUAUGCAAGACUUGACAAAGCUGGUGAGGAGCCAGAUGGGCCCUCUACUAUUUUUUUUAUAUCUCAUGGGAGUUGAGCAAGGGACCAACUGCAGCAAGCCACUGAGAGAGCUUUCUUUUUAUUGCCAUCAUUCGGGCCUUAUGUUGCACCAACACAUGAUGGAGAGAUGCGCACCGUCCUGUGGAAAUAACGCAUUCGAAAAAAUAGGUAAUGUAAUAAAUGGGAACGCUUGUUUGAAUGAUGAUGUGAUGCACAGAUGCUUUAAGGAUGCAUGAUGCUCUGUGCAGUGUUGGAUGCUCAUGCUACGCCAGUCGGAGGAGGACGUAGACAUUUUGGUGCAACAUCUUUGCUCUAGCUAUAGUUGUGCGAUUCGGAACAUUGUGGUUGCAAACAGGCCUGCUUUUCUUCGUGUUCACAGCGGACCUUGAUUUAAAUGUCCAUACAAUUAAGGCACGCGGUGAAUGCCAAGAGAGAUGGCAAAUAUCAUCGAUGAUUGAUUUUAGAACUGCACAGCGCAUAUAGUCCGUGCUUUGCGAUGCAUGACAGUUCUUAUUUUUCUUUCGUUCCGUUUUUGCGAGAACGCGUGUGUGUGGAGGCGAGCCGACGCAUCAAUGCGGCCAAACUGGUCUUUAAUAUUUCAUUGCGUUCUUCCAAAAUUUUGUGUUGCGCAAAAGAGCGUAUCAUGGAACAUUGUGAAGUGUCAUUACGCAUAUACGAGUUUAAAACUGAUGAAACGUCUUUUUGUCAUUUACUGUCUAUUUAGAGGACGCUUAAAAUCUAGAAAUGCCAUAUAGUCUCAUUUGCAGACUAUGUGGGGACACGAUGUCUUCAGGAGAAGAUGAAGAAUAAUAAGGAUAGAAAAGUUGUGAGGCCUACUUUGACUGCCAAAUUAAACAGAACGCACUGAUUUCUUAAAUGCCUGAACAUUCAAGACAUUCAGGACGACAGCACUUGUCUUAUGUCCUAAUAAGGGCACUGAAAAUAUUGAGCUUGUACGUUUGUAUUGUAUUUAUGAGUGUGUAAAUAAUUUUAGCCUGUCAAUAAAAUCACAUAUUCACUAA